rnacentral:rRNA from 1 species
GAUGAACGCUGGCGGCGUGCUUAACACAUGCAAGUCGAACGAAGCACUCUAUUUGAUUUUCUUCGGAAUUGAAGAUUUUGUGACUGAGUGGCGGACGGGUGAGUAACGCGUGGGUAACCUGCCUCAUACAGGGGGAUAACAGUUGGAAACGACUGCUAAUACCGCAUAAGCGCACGGUAUUGCAUGAUACAGUGUGAAAAACUCCGGUGGUAUGAGAUGGACCCGCGUCUGAUUAGCUAGUUGGUGGGGUAACGGCCUACCAAGGUGACGAUCAGUAGCCGACCUGAGAGGGUGACCGGCCACAUUGGGACUGAGACACGGCCCAAACUCCUACGGGAGGCAGCAGUGGGGAAUAUUGCACAAUGGGGGAAACCCUGAUGCAGCGACGCCGCGUGAACGAAGAAGUAUUUCGGUAUGUAAAGUUCUAUCAGCAGGGAAGAUAAUGACGGUACCUGACUAAGAAGCACCGGCUAAAUACGUGCCAGCAGCCGCCGUAA